CCUCCCGCUGAGCAAAGGGCGCUCAGAAGUCUAUUCUUGAAAACGGGCAGCUGUGUAUAAAGAAGCCUUGAAGACAGACGGCUGCUCCGUUCAUCAAAAUCUUGUUUGCAGCUGAUGUUCUAGUUUAAUGGCUCUGAAAGACACGAGAAAACACCCUUCGGCGCAGGACAGUUCUGAAAAACAUUCAUUAGGGAAUGAGCGUUUUAACACCCCUGCCAUCUGUGAGGGAGAAAAAAAUUCCAGUUUUAAAAAAUAGAAUCAAAGAAGAGGGGACCUUCAGUUCCAUUGAUUUCAUCUCUUCUGUUCCGGCCCCAGCAGAGUCACAGAGCUUCAACGGGGAUGCACCACACCACAGAGCAGGGGCUACAUCUCCUGCCUUAUUUCAGAGUCUCGCUUUAAACCCUUUCAGCCUGCACGCAUCUUCCCUCAGUUAUAAAAACGUAACAAAGCAGGCAAGCGAGCUGCCAAGUUUCGUCGAGGUAAAUGAUAUAUUAAAAAGCUCACCAGCCACUUGUUUCAACAUCUGGUCACUUCGCGCCGAGCUGUCAUCGUAGUGUUCGAAAAGUGAGAACGCGGCAGGCAUGUUCUCUAAGGAAGCUGUGCUCUCCAUGGCAGACAGCAGCCUGACAAGGGAACAGAACGCUACUCAGUCGGGCAAGCAUGAACACAGAACCAAAACAGUCUUCCUGCUCAGCCUGCAGCUGGUGAGGGUAACUGGUUUGUAUGAGGCAAGGGCCUGCCAACCCCUAGGGCUUCCAAAAGCAUAGGAAAUUAGACAUCUGGAGCCCAUUUCUUCUUAGAUACCUGAUGAUAGUAGGGGUCUUGUCCCUGGGCUCUCAAAUUUGAAAAGUUUCAAGUUAUCUAGACUUUCGGUUCCUAUCUAAUAAAUCAGUCCUAAAAUUUUGCU